rnacentral:rRNA from 1 species
GUGGGGAAUAUUGGACAAUGGGCGAAAGCCUGAUCUAGCCAUGCCGCGUGUGUGAAGAAGGCCUUUUGGUUGUAAAGCACUUUAAGCGAGGAGGAGGCUACCGAGAUUAAUACUCUUGGAUAGUGGACGUUACUCGCAGAAUAAGCACCGGCUAACUCUGUGCCAGCAGCCGCGGUAAUACAGAGGGUGCAAGCGUUAAUCGGAUUUACUGGGCGUAAAGCGCGCGUAGGUGGCCAAUUAAGUCAAAUGUGAAAUCCCCGAGCUUAACUUGGGAAUUGCAUUCGAUACUGGUUGGCUAGAGUAUGGGAGAGGAUGGUAGAAUUCCAGGUGUAGCGGUGAAAUGCGUAGAGAUCUGGAGGAAUACCGAUGGCGAAGGCAGCCAUCUGGCCUAAUACUGACACUGAGGUGCGAAAGCAUGGGGAGCAAACAGGAUUAGAAACCCGUGUAGUCC